rnacentral:rRNA from 1 species
AGUGAACGCUGGCGGUAGGCCUAACACAUGCAAGUCGAACGGCAGCACAGUAAGAGCUUGCUCUUACGGGUGGCGAGUGGCGGACGGGUGAGGAAUACAUCGGAAUCUACUUUUUCGUGGGGGAUAACGUAGGGAAACUUACGCUAAUACCGCAUACGACCUACGGGUGAAAGCAGGGGAUCUUCGGACCUUGCGCGAUUGAAUGAGCCGAUGUCGGAUUAGCUAGUUGGCGGGGUAAAGGCCCACCAAGACGACGAUCCGUAGAUGGUCUGAGAGGAUGAUCAGCAAAACUGGAACUGAGACACGGUCCAGACUCCUACGGGAGGCAGCAGUGGGGAAUAUUGGACAAUGGGCGCAAGCCUGAUCCAGCCAUACCGCGUGGGUGAAGAAGGUCUUCGGGUUGUAAAGCCCUUUUGUUGGGAAAGAAAAGCAGCAGGUUAAUACCCCGCUGUUCUGACGGUACCCAAAGAAUAAGCACCGGCUAACUUCGUG